rnacentral:rRNA from 1 species
CCUACGGGCGGCAGCAGUGAGGAAUAUUGGUCAAUGGGCGAGAGCCUGAACCAGCCAAGUCGCGUGAGGGAAGACGGUCCUAUGGAUUGUAAACCUCUUUUGCCGGGGAGCAAAAAGCGGUACGUGUACAGCAACGAGAGUACCCGGAGAAAAAGCAUGGGCUAAAUCCGGGCCAGCAGCCGCGGUAAUACGGAGGAGGUGAGCGUUAUCCGGGUGUAUUGGGUGUAAAGGGUGCGCAGGCGGCGAGUUAAGACAGCGGUAAAAGUUCGGGGCUCAACCCCGACGAGCCGUUGAAACUGGCUUGCUAGAGUGUGCGAGAAGUAUGCGGAAUGCGUGGUGUAGCGGUGAAAUGCAUAGAUAUCACGCAGAACUCCGAUUGCGAAGGCAGCAUACCGGCGCCCAACUGACGCUCAGGCACGAAAGCGUGGGUAUCGAACAGGAUUAGAUACCCCAGUAGUG